AACGAACGCUGGCGGCAUGCCUAACACAUGCCAGUCGAACGAGACCUUCGGGUCUAGUGGCGCACGGGUGCGUAACGCGUGGGAACCUGCCCUUAGGUUCGGAAUAACUCCCCGAAAGGGGUGCUAAUACCGGAUAAUGUCUUCGGACCAAAGAUUUAUCGCCUUUGGAUGGGCCCGCGUUGGAUUAGCUAGUUGGUAGGGUAAAAGCCUACUAAGGCGACGAUCCAUAGCUGGUCUGAGAGGAUGAUCAGCCACACUGGGACUGAGACACGGCCAGACUCUUAGGGGAGGCGGAGGGGGGGAUAAUUGGACAUGGGGCGAAGGCCUGUCCCGCAAUGGCCGGGGGGGUGUUGAGGGCUUUGGGGUUGUAAGCUCUUUUACCCGGGAUGAUAAUGACAGUACCGGGAGAAUAAGCUCCGGCUAACUCCGUG
rnacentral:rRNA from 1 species